UACAGAGGUCUCAAGCGUUGUUCGGAUUCAUUGGGCGUAAAGGGUGCUUAGGUGGUUGGGUAAGUCAAAUGUGAAAUCCCGGAGCUCAACUCCGGAACUGCAUUCGAUACUGCCCGGCUCGAGGAUUGGAGAGGAGACUGGAAUUCACGGUGUAGCAGUGAAAUGCGCAGAGAUCGUGAGGAACACCCGUGGCGAAGGCGGGUCUCGGGACAAUUCAUGACACUGAGGCACGAAGGCCAGGGGAGCAAACGGG
rnacentral:rRNA from 1 species